rnacentral:lncRNA from 1 species
AGGCCAGAAGGUAGCAUUUAAUGCAACACGAGGGCUUCUGUGAAGGCAAAACUGGUCCUCCUUUGUGGGUUUCUGUAGGUUGUUGUGGCUUGAACAGAUCUGUUUAUGCUACACUUGCUAUGGCAACGUUUAUCUGAUAUGGACAAAAGGCAUUUUGAUUCUUGAAUUAAUAACACUUGAGUCAAGCCUAUGAUUCAACAAGAGGUAUUCAAACAGUUUAAGUGAAGGCAAUGUUUUCUCUGAAGCUAAUUAAUGCAGCAACAAACCUUUGGCUGAAGUGAUCCAAAUGUGCAGCAAGCGAGUGUUACCCUGUUCUAUAAACCAUCGAGCUAUCCUUGCAGUGAGUGAAUGGAGAGGGGAAAAAAGAAAGGCACAUGCUGUUGGUGUGAACCUCGGAUGGGAGCCUGGGCAAUUUCACGUUUUAAGGAGGACCUGCAGAGGUGGCUGUUGUUCAGUCUGACAAGUGUUUGACUGCAUUGUAAAGGGCGAGAGGGCCCUGGACACAGAAGUGACUGUGAAUUCACCCCAGCCUUCCUCUCUGCUCCACUUUCCUCUACGUGCCCCUAAGCUGCAGCCCCCACAAGGCUCAGGUGACUUGAUUUCAUGGCACACCUUUUCUGAGAAGCAGACGCGGCCCCAGGGGAUCAGAUAUUUUUGAACACCUACCAUAUGCCAAACACACAAAAAAUGAAAAAGGCCCAGUGCCCACUGAACCAGAGCCCACCAUCUGGUUAGGAGUGCAGACGCGACAUCAAUAACUCUGAUAGGUAUAAAGCUGGGGUUCCCUACCAUUGCUGGGCCCCAGAGUCAUCUGAGCAGCAAGUUGAAAAUGCAGAUGCUUGGAAUCCACCCCAGAUCUGCCAGAGGAAGAUCUCUAGAACAGGAAGGGGACCAGCGCAUUUGCAUUUUAAUCAGCUGCCCCCUCCCUCAGAUUAACUCUAAUGUACAGCAAAGAUUGGAACUACUAGUAUCAAAGAAAGCACAUUGGACUUAAUGGCAUUAGUCCUGCAAGCUUCUUCAGCUGGGCCCAUAGCCUUAUUUGGUUUAGGAUUCGGAGCUUUUAAUAUCUGCCUAGGCCCGUGUGGGACUCAAUCAAUGGAAACAUUAAUGAGAGAAGAUACAAGUUCAAGUCCAGGGCAAACCUGGUCCAGGUUUGUGUACAAGGGAGGAAGUAAUAUCUCCUCUGAUGAGUGCUGUAUAAUUUAAAUGAAAUAAAAUAUGGAAAAGCAACUAUCACUGUGCUUGCAGAUCAAUAGAUGCUCUGAAAUGGUGGGUUAUCACCAGCCUUGGCUUCCUCCUGUGGAACUCAUCGUGAUAAAUGCUGCCAUGUGAUUUGAAUUCCACUAUGACUUUCCUUCAGCUUUUUCCCUAUGAGCAGGAGAAUAUUUAAGAGAAAAGCAUUCUUACUUCCAAUUGUUUUCCUCUAGUCAAUGCUAAUGAUUGGAAUUUUUUCUUUUUUUGCCUCCAGCCACUUUGGUGAGAAAAGAAUAGGUAAGACUUGGCACUAGAAGCUGACCGUGGACACAUUGGUAGUCAGGAAAUCCUAGAAACUUGGGGCUUGGCAAGCUUUCCAAGAUCAUCUGAUCUAACCCUCUUGGUCUUUUACAUCAGAAACCUGGGGCCCAGAGAGGGACCGUGGUUUGCUGAAGGUCACAGAGCCAGCUCACGGCAGAGCUGAGGCAAGACCCCAGUGAAAGUCUGGUUGUCAAAGUGUCUCUCUGGAGCUCUUGGUACGCCAUGCAAGUGCCCCAGGCCCUCUGAAAGAGAGAGAGAGUGAAAAGCGAGUAGAACGACCCACUUAAACUACAGAAAGUCCCAUUUUUACCUGUUUUAUAUAAACAUUCUCAGUAUGACUGCAUUUGAAGAAACAAUUUUAUGAUUAAAGAUAACUGAAAAGCACGGCACUAGACCAUUCUGCAGUUUCCAUCACAGUUGGCUCUUUCCUGCCCACCACUUAACUUCCUGCAACCAUUAUCAGACAACAAUAUAAUUUUAGACAUUGUGUUUGGAGUCUAGUGUUGCAAAAUAUCUUCCCAUCCAAAUGUCCUUCUUCCUCAUAAUAAGAUAAAGACAUCAUGAAGCUUCCCCUGAAAAACUACAAAAGAACAAAUGAAUACAAUGAGCCCCAUCAGCUUAGGAUUAUAAAUGUUCAGGGGAUAGUGGAAACCAAGGAAAGGCCAAUACAAGUCUGUUCAAAUGUACUGUUAUAGAUGGAAGUAUGGUUAAUUAGCUCUUCAGUACUAAAAAAAUAUUUUAAAUCUGCUUACAAUUAAAACAUAAUUAACUUUUCCAUUUUCCCUUUAUGACUUUUUCACCAAAGAAUCAGUAAAAAUUCGAGCUAAGAUUAAAGAUAGAUGUGUCAGAGACUUCUACUUGCCUACCAAAUAGUCAUUUUCUCCUUAUGAACAAACAUCGAUGUUAUUAAAGGAGGAAAUGGGCCCAGUUAAAUAUGUAUCCAACCUCUCUUGCAGCUAAGGGAUAUCAUAGGAGAGCAUUAUGAUUGAUGGGAUAUGAGUAGAAAUAACAGAAAGAGACUUCUGGAAAAUCUCUUAAAACAGGGCUUCCCACACUUACUUUGCCUCUACUUAUCUGGUUUACCCUGUCUAAACAUGAACAUGAUGUCUGGCAUUCCAGCAGCCAUUUUGAGAGCAUGAGGAUAAGAGUUAACCCCCUACAGAUGGUGGAGCACAAAGCUAGAAGGGCCCUAAGUCUUUGAAGGCCUCAGGGAGCUGCCGUACCAGCCUGAGUGCCCACCUCCAAAUGUAUUUUACAUGAGAGAAAAAUAAACCCCUGAUGUCAUCAUAGUACUUCUACUAUUGUUGUUUCACUUUUUCGUUUCUUUUACUAGCAACCAAACAGAAUUCAUAGCUUAGACGGUAGGCAAGCCAAACUACGAUAAAUGAAGCUAAGCUUAAGAGCAUUUCCUAUGUAACAGGAAGCAUUACCCGCCAGAAAUCUGCCCAAGAAAGCUUAUUCAGGUGAGAUUUCCUGACUUUUUUACGUUUUUCCAGAUCUGAAAGUUUUGGAAAGUGAAUAUGAACAGUAAAGUACGUGGGCAGUUAUCCAAAGAGAAUGGUUUUAUGUUUGCCUAGCACUGUACAAUGAACAGUGUUGGAUAUGACUUGUCAAUGAUUCUAUAUUCCUAAGCGUCAACUCAAUAAAAGAAAGUUAAAUUUCAAACCAUUUUCAAGAGGGGCUUAUUGUAUAUGAAAAGGCCAUUUAGGGCACCCCACUGAUUUUGAGAUCAUUUUCAGACUUGCCAUAUGAAUUGUAAUGUCAAAUGACAUCCAUACCUACCACCUCUUUGCUUCACCUUUGUAUCAGUUCUCUUAGGCAAUGUAGACUAAAAAAGCAUAAAACCACUGCGUCUCCAUUAGAGCUCCCCAAAGUCACGCCGAAGCAUAGGAAGCAUGCAUUGAACACAUUGGUAUAUGUGUCAGAUAUAGAAAACAGCAAACUUAAACAGUGUGUCUUUCGAAGUCCUGAAGUUGACUAACGAGCUGAGUAGGGAAGGGCACUGAGAGUGUUUCCCUCUGGAUUUUGCAAGAUGGAAGCAAGCAGUCAGGCUCAGGAAAUCCAUUCAGCAAGGCACUGGGCAAAAAGGCGGAGAUCAAUUGGGAUCUAGGAGGCAGUCAGACAGAGCCACCAGCAGAUACAGUGGCAGGCUGGAGUGCCAAGAGCAUGCUACCUAAAUGCUGGAAGCAACCCUUAGUAGAGACCCCAAAUAGGAACAAUCUUGUCCUGUGCCCUUUCACCAAUAGUGACAAUGAUGCUGAUGGACACAUAAAAGAACAUGAUUUACCUGUCAGCAUUCCUAAUUUCCACAGGCAGGCCACACUCUAUGCUUAAAUAAUGAGAUAUACAUAUAUAAUAUGUCCUAUUAGUUAACCAAGGAGAAUGAGGCUCAAGGAGAUUGAAAAAGUUGGCCAAUGUCAGAAAGUGCAUAAGUGACAGAGCCGAUGCUCAAACUCAAGCCUGUCUGCCUCCAAAACCCAUAUUCAUAACUCCUGAUCCAUGUUAGCUCUCUUAGAGGAAGACUCUCCCAAAGUUGGGGGCCAAAGGCCCUUACUGAAGAGCCGUAACUAAAGCGAGAGUCCUGUGGCUUUGAUGAGAAGGUUGGUUUCAUCUAAACGUUUUUAAUUUCCUUGAGCUUAUUGGAAUAUUGAAAAUAGUUCAUAGAUACCCCCAUUUCCACCUGCAUGAACCUACAAAGAAUGUACAAAGUCUAAUUUAGAAAACAAUGGGCCCUGGGGAAAUUCAUAGGGGUGGGCGUAGGGUGAGGAGUGUCACUGUCACAAGACAGUCAAGCUUUGAUGGUACACUGUGCCAAACCAGACCUUUAUUUCUCUAAUUAUGGCUUCCUCUGCUCCCCAAAAUCUGUUUCCCCAUAUCCUGAGGCAUAAAGGCCAAAUUUAAGUAUAUAGCCGUAACUGCCCUAAGAAAACAAUAAAACACCUUUACAUACCUUGGUUGGAGUCCAAAAUUUGCAGGAUAUCUUCCCACUCACUGUCCCAUGGACCUCAUGUAUCUCCUGAGAAGUCACCAAACAACUCAGUCUUCCCAGAACACAAGGACAGUGCCACACUCCACCGCUUUGCAUCACUUUCUACCACCACCUAAAAUGCCCUUCCCCUGUUCCUUGCAUGGCAAAAUAUUAUCUGUUCUUAAAGGUGCUGCUCAAAUACCAACUCCUUCUAGAAGCUUCCCUCAGACCAGAUGCCCCUACUUCACUUCUUCAUUGUCCAAAUUGAAUUGGCCCAAGAGAAUGUUUUGCCCUCUGCACUUUAUUUAGGUCUCUGUCUACCACUGUAGUGUUAUUAAUUCAUUUUGCUUGAGUGUGUCUAUGAGCCAAGUACAGUAACUUACUCACACAUGAAUCUCCAGAACCUUGCAAGUGCCUGAUACAUAGUGAACACUCAAUGAAGGCUGAAUGCCUGGAUAAAUGGUUGUGAUGAUUUCAAUAGAAAUCAAGUUUAAAAAAAUAAGCUCUUAGCUAAUUGUGAUUUGGAUGUUUUCCUGAGUUUGUGAGACCCUCACAAAAUAAAAUAUUUCAUAAAAGUCUAAUAAUAGAAUUCUAAUGUAAAUCAAAAGGUAAAUAGUUGCAUUUACACUCUUGCUCACUUUUUUCCCCAGUAGUUUCCUGUCAAUGUCUACCAUUCCUGUGAAGUUUAGGGUCUUGGUUUGUAAGAAACCUUCAUUAGCCACCAUGUUAGGCUUUCAAAUGCUCAUAAAUCAGCAAUUCCUUAUGUCUAAUAUGGGAAUCUUCCUGAGCAAGAAUUUGGGACAAAUUUUCAGAUUCCUGUCACACUCUAACAUCUCUCGUAAUCAAUAUUUAUUGAGCACUCAUGUUGUGUUGAUGCUUUUCUAAGCACCUUCCAUGUAUGAACUCACUUAAACGUCUAGAGGCUGAGGCAAGGGCUCAGGCUAACAGUGGGCGUUUCACGUAGUGAAGAGAAGGGACUGAGAUUUCACCAGGUAGACAACAACUGAUACAAGAGUUUCAGCUCCAAGACCUGCAAAGAUUCCCCUGUCAUAAUGGGAUUAUCCGGAUCAUUUACAUAUUAUGCUUACCACUUAUAAAUGCAUACUGAAAUAUUGACAGAUUAUGAUAGGAUGUCUGAGGUUUCUGGUAAAAUUAUCCAGUUGCAGGGAGAUGGAAAAAUAGAAAAGGAUAUCAACAAACAUGAGCAAUCAUAAGUUGAUACUGGUUAUAGCUGAGUAAUGGUACAGGUAGCACUCUCUAAUUUUACAUAUAUUUGAAAUUUCCAUUUUAAAAAGUUCUUUUAAAAAAAGAACCCACUUAAACCAUAACCAUAACAAUGCAAUUGAUAACAACUCUGGCCGAGCUCUCUCAGGUUGGUGCCCCACCCUGCCAGUCUGUCUCUGCAGCUUCUGCUUCUCUUACAGAACUCUCCACAAUGUGUGGUUAUUUUGUUUAUUUGUUUUCAGUCUGUCUCCCACUGAGCUUUAAGUUCUGAAAGAGGAGCAGCUCUGUCUAAUUUGCUAUUGAAUCCUCAGCAUCUAGCACAAUGCCUGUGCAGAGGGGGAGCUAAAUAAAUAUUUGUCAAGGAAGGAAGGAAGGGAGGGAGAGAUGGAGAGAGGGAAGGAGGGAGGGAGGCAGAGAAGAAAAACAUGGUGGCACCAUAGGAAGCACUUAACUCAUAUCGUCUCAUUUAAUUCCAACCACCCCAUGAGAAAGCUGCCAUUAAAAAAGGUCAUUGGCUGAGAAGUAGCAGAGCCAGGAUUUGGAAAUGACCUGGCGCCAUCUGGCAUGCCCAAGAUUGCAGAGGUGUACUGCCCACCAGCACCUCUGGCAUACCUGGUUGGUGUUCACAAAGGCCACGAAUUGAAUCACAAGCCAACAAAAUGCCAAUGUGAAAGCAGGCCUGGCAUAUUCACAUAAGAGCUAUGUUUAUCUGUCUAUUAUUGAGCCUACAAUUUAAUGAACUCACUUGGAAAAUACAUCUAAUGGAUGGCCGUGCCUGGUAUCCCACGUCUACCAGCACAUCUGAAAAAUCUGCCUGAUGCUCAGACCAAAUAUUAGGUAAAUCAGUGCCCGAAAUAUAUAGUGAAUAUAGAAUUCUACUUCAUUCUGAUGAGUUUUUAAAGAUACAGUACAAAUAUUAUGUUAAGAAACAAAUACCAAAAAUUUUUUUUAAAUCGAGCAAAGCAGAAACCCUAAGAUCAGGAUAGCAUUCUAAUAUACUGGAGUCGAGCAGACCUUGUUUUCAAUGCUGCCGCUGCCCUUCAGUGAAUGUGAGGCAAUGAAAAACUGACUUAACUUCGCGCCUCAGUUUCCUGAGCCUUACCGGAAUGGCUGAGAGUAGCUUAAACACCUUACAAUUUAAGCUCAUUCCUCUACAAUUCUCAUGGCCUUGUGAGAUACUUUAGAUGUGCAUUGAAUGUGCUCUCUUACCUUUUUCUCUCCUGUUGGUUUCAGUCUACAGAGUGCUUUUACCCCGCCAGCUGAAAGUCUUUGGGUAACCAAUAAUCCAGCAACUCCCCUUUUCACACUUGCCAUUCUGACUUUCAGUUGUUUGAACUGAGUGGUCAAAAGGUGCUGUGGUGUGCUGCUCAUUUAUUCCAUCUUAGGCCCACAAAGGGUCUCCUUGUAACUUCUCACGCUUAGUCCUAGUUGUGCUCACUUCAACCUAACACAAGUGGUCAUGUCACUCUCCCAUGUGACAGAACUUCAAUAUUUAACAGUGGUGGGUGAUCAAUCCUUCCAGAUAAAAUAUCAACAGUGCCAUCAACCUCAUGACACUUGAUCCUUACGGUGCCUACACUAAGUUUCACAGUGGCUCUUUAGAAUAAAAUAUACUUUUCUAAAAAUUUGGGAAUGUCACAGCUACAUCUUUGCAACAAGAGUAGAAACUUGAUCAACCGUUAGUGCCCAGGCUCCCUGUCAUACGUAGAGAACAUCUGCCUUUUCAAAAAGAGAAGCUUCAAUGGGAGGGGCCUCAUGGGACACAAUGUGUCCAUCAUUAUGUGUGGGGCUUCCUGUUCGAGCUAACUGAACAGUUCAGAGAAAUGGAAGAAUCACCCCGGAAGGUUUCCUCAGCUUUUCCUGAUAAGGACGUGUUUCAUAUCCCCUAAAUUACUCUCUGAUGUUUGCUCCGGAAAGGAACCUAAGUAACGAUUCUUCCCUUCUUUUUUGUAAAUGGCAAGCUAGGAAUGAAUAUAUUACUUGAGCAAGAUGAUCAUACCAAAUUAGAUGAUGCUUGUUGGAAUAAGGAGACUAUAAAUUUUAAAGUAAAUAAAUAAGUGGUUUUAAAGCAUGACACAGAUUAAGCGACAUGAGAAUUAUCAUCGAGCUUCCAUGAUCAUUUGGCAUCCAUCUGGGGAGAAUGGUCAACCAACACAGCUUCCCUCUACAGAAGAAGCUCUAAGCGGUUCAGGCUGGGUCUUGAACAGCGAUUCUCAACUUUGAUUGCACAGUAGACUCACCUGGGGAGCUUUUAAAACUAGUCAGGUUCUAAUGACUACCCCAUCAGAUUCUAACGUGCAGCCAGUGUUGGGAAUCACUGGCUUAGAAAGAAAAUGGUGGCCUGUGGAAACUAGGGUCAUCAGGGGACUUUGGAACCCCUCAGACAGGUGGUCACCAGCCUCAGCAGAGAGCAGCUCAUUCUGCCCAUUAUCAAGGAGUCUUGGUCCACUGAGCCUCUUGUCUCCUCAGGUGAAUGAACCCUUGUGGCUACAGCUGACCAAGAUAGUCACCACUUGGCAGCAACUCCAAGCAAGGCAGCUGGUAUCCCCCCACCCUUCUUUGGCUUUCAGAUUUCCUCAGAUGCACCCUGAGGACACAAUACUAACGUGGAGAUAAAGGCAGCUGGGGUGAUAACACCUCCCACCAUUGUAGGCCUCCUUAACAAUCAUCCCUCACACAGGACUAGUUUCAGGUGUAGAUAAAGCAGCCCAAUAAUCAUGAUCACAGUGAUAACUUAUGAAGUAUCUGCUAUGUGGCACCAACCUAGAAGCUUUACAUGUAUCAUUUCUAAAAAAGAUAUUAUCUUCACUCUGUAGAUGGGGAUAUUGAAGCUCAAAGAGAUUAGGCAACUUGACCCAAAACACAUGGCUAGGACCCAAAUCUAUCUGGCUCUGUAACCCAUGUCUUUCUAGGCCAUGCUGCUGGUCUUUAAGUCUUGCUCCUUACGGUUUCUUUGCCCCAUCCCAAAAUUAAAUCAAGUCCAACCCAUGAGAAGACACCUCUUGGGUGGUGGAGAGGAUCAGGCAGAGGGAGCAGGGAUUAGUCAGUCAUUCCUACCACAGUGUGUGUGAGUCUGCUAACUCACCUACUACUGACAGUGAUGAGGAAGGAACAGGACCAGGGCAGUGGCAGGAUGAGCUGGGACAACUUGUGAGAACCAGAAACUGCAUGGCAUCACCCUCUGAGGAGGGAAGUAGAGAGAGAAGAGGGGAUGUCCCAAGGGGUCAGAUGAGGCCAGAGUAAGUUAACAUGGAAACCUUAUUUUGUUUUCUCCCCUUAGGACCUCCUCCUUCUUUUGCUCCUGCCAAGUAAAACUCAUUUAAGUCUUAUCAGAUUUAACCAAACCAUGGGAAGGCCGGUAAGUCAAAGGCAGUGAACUGAUUUCUGGUUUCCCAGUAUCAACGUCAGAAACCUGGUCAGGAUGUUGGUGAGCAGGAGUGGGUAGGAAGGAGUGGGGGAGUGUGUUCUGGGGCCAAAGGUGUUACAAGUAAGGAAAAAAAUUAACAGAAGUUCGAUUUUACUCUUUACCUGGAUUCCACUGUGACCCUAGCUGCAGAAAAGGCCUCUGUCCCACGGCAGCCAAGGGUAUGCCAUCUCCUAGAGCUCAAGUUAAGCCACAAAAUGAAAAGCCUAACUUUUGGGAUGAGCAUGCAAUGUCUGCUCCCGAGAUUGGGUUAGGUUCUUUCUGCUCUGCUCUGCUCUUCUCCAGGCACGGGGAGGUUGGUUCUGGUGCUGACAGAGGACCUCCCUGGAGACCAGAUGUGCACACUGAUUCUCAGGCCCCUCCUUCGGCAUAAUCAAAAGUCAACUGCAGGAAGACAGUGGUCAGACGGACUUUCCCACAAUACCCAGUUCGCACAGGUCGGAAGGGCUCUCUGGAAGCCAGUACAAACAGACCCAGGCACAUUUCCCCGGGGCCUGAUGUCCAGAUUGGUUUCUCAGUUUGGUUGCUGCCUACGCAGCCACGCUGGUGUGCCAAGCCCUGGGGUUGGUUUUCAGAUCUUCCUGAAGGUAACGACAAGCCUGUUCCCUCAGCAGGGACUUAGAGGGAGGGUGAUCUUUGGAAUCAGAGCAGAGGAAACUCCCUCCGAAACGCAAUCCCUGUCCCUCCAGCCCUGCUGGGCAGAAACAGGGAAAAGUAACACGCCGUGAGGUGAAAAUGAUGCCCGAGGAAAGGGCACCGGAGGAAGAAAGGCCGGAAUUUGGUGCUAAUCAGACAGGAGCCUGAGGUUUUUAAGAAAUCAGAGUCUACUUUUCCUGCACUUGGAAAUUCCACAUGACAAGCCCUUAAGGAGCACUGAAUAUGGCCUUCACCCAUAGGGCUAUCCAUAAAUUCAGCUGUAGAGAGAUGGAGAGAAGCUAGAUAGCCAAAACUGGCAGCAACCACCAGCACCCUUUCUGGUCCUUCUGUUAUGUAUCAGGCACUGUGAUGGGUGAUGUUCAAGCAUGAUCUCAUUUAAUCCCCCACAACCCCCAUUUAAGGUGGCUCUUAUUAUUCUCGUUUUACAGAUGAGAAUACUGCGGCCUCAAGAGUUUUAGUAAUUUACCCACAAAGUUUGGCUCUCUGCGGGGCUCUUUACAUACCUGGCCUCAUUUUUUUUUUAUACUUUGUUUUUUGGUGAGGAAGAUUGUCCCUGAGCUAACAUCUGUUGCCAAUCUUCCUUUUUUUUUGUUGCCAAAGCCGGAGUACAUAGUUGUAUAUCCUAGUUGCAAGUCAUUCUAGUUCUUCUAUGUGGGAUGCUGCCACAGUAUGCUUGAUGAGCAGUGUAUAGUUUUGCACCCAGGAUCCAAACCGGCAAACUGCAGGCCAUCUAAGUGGAGUGUGCAAACUUAACCACUUAGCCACGGGGCCAGCCCUUGGCCUCGUUUAUUUCUGUUGAACUGGAGUUGAUCUCAGAUUCUAGUCAACCAGGAAAUGCUGAAUGGGCAUUAGGAGCCCUGCCCGUUGCAAAGGAAGGAAAGAACCCGUAGGAAGGGGUAAGCCAGUUUUGCUUCCUUUUGAGUCCUUGGUAUACAUGGUGAUGGGACUUUAUUGGUUGCUGUCAAUAAAGUUUUUUGAGAAAAUGAAAAUUGUCUUCUUGGCCCCAGCUUAACAGUGAAUUAUCUUCUACAACUUGGAAACCAAGAAGCCUACAAAACUAAUGUCUAAGGUUCAAAAGCUUGCGUAGUGACAGGUGAUGGGAGAUUAGUUAAGUGUUUUAUAAAUAAAUGGAUGAAUAAAUGCAUGAUUUUUUCUUAAAAGUAUUUCAGGGCAAGGCUGACCUACAUUCCUGUGCCCCUUCCACCAGAUGUUCCGUAUGUAUUUCCAUGUCUGUUGCCUUUGCUUAGAAGCUUUUGGCUUAGAAAAAUCAGGCCUGAAGACAAAGCUUAGCCAUGUGAAAUUAGGCUCCUUAGUAAUUCCUUAUUGAAAAUCGCAGUAAUGAUUUUAAAAAAAAAUCCCACAAUAUAUUUUACUCUCUUAUCCAUAUUUAUUUCUUCCAGUCAACAAAAAAAUUCAAAUGAAUCUAGGAAAGUUUCUAGGAUUCUUUUUCCUCUUUUGCAAGAACGACAGUUCUCCAGACAUACCUUCUUUAAAAAUAAAGUGCAUAUAAUUUUCCACAUUCAAGACUUAGAGUUCUCUGUUUUUGGAAGAUGCUGAAAAUAGACGCAUCUGCUGUAAUAUCAGAGCUUUAGAACUGAAGUGUCUGUCCAAACUCAGAGUGGUCUUUGGAAAUAUGGCUGGUAGUGUUCUCUAGCAUGGCCAUGAUGAAUUUUGUCGGAAAAAGGAGGCCAUUUUGGAUCCUGACCCCCCACCUGGUUAUGCCUCAGUGUUGACUUCUGUACCUGCCCACAGCAAUAUGCGUUGGCUCUGGCAUGUACAGGGCCGCGCACCCCCGUCAAUGGAGUCCAUUGUUUCACAGCCGGGCACCUGCACAGCAGGCUCAAACAAUGAGGCCAUACCGAGAACCCCUCCUUUCUCCUCAGGGCACCCCCUGUGAAAGAAAACUUGUUGAGGCCUGGAAGCCCACUUGCAUCAUAAUUAGGCUGCUUGGCCAACAGUUAACCACCACCGUCUCCAGGUGAACACACAAGCAACUUCCAAAUCCUAGCUACACGGACAAGGCAGCUUUAGCAUCGGAUCUGCACUCCCCUUACUCGGAAUGAAUGUUACGUUGAAGAAUGAAGACUCUGCAAGGCUAGAGCUCUGCCCUGGGACUGCUGGGUGCUUUGGUUUUCACAGAACACCUGCACCCUUGGGCCAUCCUCAGAUCUGUGAGAUCUUCCUGAGCGAGACCCAAUAACCUACUCAGACCAGGUCUUAGGCAGAGCCACAAAAUACCCCGAAUUCCUGCUGCAGAUGGCCUUCUCUGAGGAGGCGUUAGUGCUAUUACGACAAUAAAGAUGAUUCAGUUUAAAAAAUGUUUAUUUAUGACACUACAAUGCUUCCCUUUAAAUUUUUUUUACUCUUUUUAAUAUCUUUCAUUUAUUUGUUGGUUGACUUGAGUUUAAAAGACAAAACACAAAGGUAACCAUCCUCGUUUUUGUCGUCAGGCACACCUGGAGUCUAAUCUUGGGUCUACCACAUGAAGAAUGUGUGAAUUUAGAGUGAAUCGCUUAAUCUCUGAAUCCCUCUUUUUUCAUCUGCAAAAUGGGGAUAAUUAUAACCAAAAUAUUAUUGAGAAUUAAAUUAAGUAAUGUACGUAAACUAUUUAGCACAGGCCGUGACCCACAGUAAUUGGUCCUUAAUAAAUGGUAGCUAUUACUCUAUUGCUUUCAUAUAAGCCCAAUGGUAAGUUAAUAAAGAAUAUAACGGUAGGAUAACUGAUGACAACUGAGUUUCGAAUGUCCACCUUCACCAAAACUUAAUGAGGCUUGGAAUGUGAAAUUGAAAUUGACAUCCAAACCACUAUAUCUCACAUAAAUCCUAGAAAACAGAGAUGGUCAGUGGCCACUUCAAUCUCUAGUUCUGAUCGAAGGUUAAGAGAAUUCCAAAAUCUUCAAGUUCUAUACUAGUCAAAAAAAGAUAACCAAAUGAUUUCAUUGGACUGAAUUUUAAGACAGAUGUGAAGCAAUUUAGGUCUGCUAGUUGGAUGCUAUUUAAAUCUUUUGUUUCCCACUAUUUGUUUGAACAAGUCACCUCCUCUCUCUGUGAUUCAGUUUUCUCAUUGGUAAAACAGGAGUAUUUUAGUACUUACCUUUCCUGAGUCUUACGAGGACUAAACAAGAUAAUAGAAGGAAAAUACUUAGCCCAGGGCUUGACUCAGUAAUCAUUCAACAGGGGUUACCCAUGUCCACUCUUGUAUUACUGCCGACAAAGCUGUUCCCCUCUUAUUUAACCCCCCUGCACACUACCAUCCUCUAUUAUGUACCUUUGUCACUGUUAUGGGAAAAUCUUGAUAUUGGUGGCUUGGUGGUGAUUUCUAACAUGUGCUAUUAAUUUGACUUAUUUCUCUAUAGAAACCUCCCUUACACUGGACAGAGAAUGUGCCCUGAGACUUCCUGCCAGAGGGGCAGCCUGUGGAACAGUGCCACAGAAACAGAAAACAAGGAGAAAACGCUGAACCUGGAGCAACCCACGUGGAUUUCACUAGCCCCAGGUAACGUACUCACAAUUUAAUAAGUACUCCCAGUGAGAACAUAAGCUAGAGCAGAACGCAGUUUGGAUUUCAGACUCCCCAGGCAAGAAGUCAAUGAGAAAAUUAAUGCGAUCUCCACCAGACCCAAUGGGUUUCUGUUCUCACGGGCGAGAUAUUUCCAGUUCUCUGGAUUAACUGGUACUUCCUUUCAACCCAAGACUUCAAACAAACUGGCUCUUUUCUGCUUAAGGAAUUUACUUAUAUGCAAAGUUUUACAUGCACAUAAAAGUUAAAUGUAGUUACAUGUUUAACAGAUUAAUCAAAAGAGUAGAUAAAACCAGAACUUCUCUGAAAAACUGUAUUUGUGAAGAAAUCACAAAAGUAUCAGUAAAACUCAAGAACGUUUAAGAAUUGCUUCUUCCAUUUCUACUGUAUUCCAUCUAGUCUGAUUAGUUAAUUGGUUAAAGACUAGCUAUAACUCUGUGACUAUCACAGAGUGAGAUCUAAAAUGGAAAAUUGAUAGGUUUCUAACAAAAUUUUUUGUGGUCUUAAUCCUUCCUUAUGAGCUCUGAGUGAUAUUUCCAUUUUGUUUUGUUUAUCUCUUUAUUUUUUUCUAAUUUAAUAUGAUUCCUCCUUUUCCCAGGCUAUGCCUCAUACAUUAAAAUGUUUGAGUUCAUUAAAGUGGUUGAUUAUACUCUAGUUUGUGUGUGUCCUUUCUUCCAGAUGAAGGAAGCAGAGGAGACUACGAUUUCCUUUCCUAUCCUUUCCCCUGCCUGUGUUGGCAAUAAGAUACAAAGUAAAAUUAAUCACGCUUACCCUUGACUUCUUAACAUGCGUGUGCUUCUGAAAACUUCUCUGCAAUGGGAAAGAGUGUUUAUGUUUACAAAUAGAGCAGGAUGUCUUUAUCUAUGUUCCUAUUAUCUAAUCUUAACACUAAUUUGGAACUGAUUACUUUACUAGAUUAUGAAACAACCCCAGCAAUAUUUCACAAAUAAAAGUUCACAGUUAAAUUAAUGACAAAGCCAAAAGUAUGCCCAUGUAUUCCCGCUUCUGCCCUUUCUUAAGAUUCCAGUACAUUUAGUUUUGCAUGGAAUGUUCUUUAAUGUUAAUCGACUUUUUCUGGAACAGAAAAAUCAGUCAUUAUUCUUGAUUCAACCAGUGUCUUCUAUUUAAUAAAUCAAGCUAUAAUUAUAAGGCAGUUAAGAAAUGGGGAUAUUUAAGUAUUCUAGAUAAUUUGGUUUAGUGUUGCAAACACUAGGUUUUUUACUUAUGCGUUUUGUGUUUUUCCAAAUUAAAAAAAGAACUGCAGUAUGGACACUGGGCUGAAAUUUUAUUUAAAUAUAUUUUAAUUCAGAUUUCUUAUCAUGAUAAAGUUCCAUCAUUGUCACUCCCCCUAUGUUUCUCUAGAUAGAUGUAAACACCACUUUUUUUUUUGCACUGUCAAGAUAAUUUGAUUCUGGAAUACUUAAUAAAAGUGUAAGGAGUACUUGAGAGAAACGUAUGUGAUCGGUACAGGGUCGAUUUGACUCAGCUUUCUAAGUCUCUCUUUCUGAGCAAAGUCUCUUCCCUCCACGCCUUGCUGGGUACUGGACCACUGGUAGAGGCAGCGGUUAUGGAUCCAGCGCGGCUCUAGGCCAUAGCACAACACAAAUUCCAGGCAUUUUCCUCAAUGGUCACACUAACGGAGUGGCGGAGGCAGUGAGGGUGCUCCUGUGGGACAAGAAAGCCCUCAGCUGCUGUUGUUUAAUGUGAAUGUCCCUCUCCAGGUCAUCAGUCCCCACUCACCCUAUUUGUUAGCUCUGCCUGCUUAACCCAGUGAUGCUCCCUGCUCCACCCCCGUCUGUAUCCAUUUGCGUUUUUGACCCCUGCGGUAAAAAAAUGCACACCACAAAGGCUUCUUCAUAGAAUGUACCCACAGAGGAAUCAUCUGUCUUAAAAAUAAUAGUGGUAAUAACCUCUUGGAAAAUGCAAGUUCCCCACCUCCACUCUGCCCUUAAUCUAUCAUUCAGGCCCUAGCGUGAAUUACUUUGGUCACAUUAAAAUCCAGCAUUCCAGACUACCCAGAGGGGGCUUUUUGUUGACGUGGAGGACAGGACCAUUUUGGAGCAAGAGAUAGUGUGAGCAGCAUCGGAGGGGCCAACCCUGAGCAGAAAGAGCAGUUUUGGACAACCUAAGGAUAGUGUAGGGGCAUUCAGGACCUGGUGAACAGGGAGUGAAGAGAGAAGGAAGAGAGGGAAUUCCACAAAGGGAGGUGGCCUGGAAGGACAAAACAUUUUCCUUUCUCUCCCGUGGGAGCAGCUGGGGUGUCCUGUAAAGACUCUGUGGGGCUCUUUUGUGGGAAGGUUGGAAGGCUGCGUAUCUCAGGCUUAACCAGUCUCUCCCAGUCCAUUCCAGAUUUCACAUCCUUAUCCAGUCUCCACCUUAAGAGGAAAGAAUGGAGUGUCCUGUGAGAGGAGCGCAGAUGGCAACUGUCAGCUUGUCAGAGGAGGGAAAGGAGGUCAGACAAAGCACUCUCGCCUUGGGCUUCCUCUUCCCUCAACAUCUUCAGUUCUCAUGACUUUUCUCUAUUUGAGGAAACUUCUAUUCCCUGCAAAUUUGAGCAUCUCCUAUAUAAAAUAAAGCUACUUAGAGAAUUAAUACACUUGAGAAAUCAAUGCUUUUCUUUCCUCACAAAGAAAGGAAAAUACUGACAUCACCUGAAGGGAACUUCUAGAAGUUAAGAUAAGAUCAUGUAUAGGCGUGCAGUUUCCAUUCAAGAAAUGGUCUCUUGGAAGGAGUCUGUUGGAAUAUCUGUCAGUAGAGACUUGCUGGCUGCCACAGAAUUAAAGUUAAAAGGGAGAGGAAGUAAUGAUCUCCAACAGCAGCAAUUCUAUUAUUUUUAAAUCACAAGAAAACAAUUGCCAAUGAUGUCCUUAUGUCCUUACUCCAAAAGAAACAAACUAAUUAAUCCAUUUGUUUCUGACUCAUGUGUGUGUCACAUUGCCUAAUAAUAAGUAACUCGUACCAGGCUCUAUGAUAAGGGCUUUACAUGCACAAUCGUAUUUAUCCUCUCAAUAGCCUAAUGAGACAGGUACUUUCAUCAAUAUCUAGUUUUACAGGUGAGGGAACUGAGGCAAAGGAUGUUUAUUAAUUUGCUACAUGGCUGGUCCAGCCGUUUCCAGGAUUUGAAAUCAGGUGAGUGUGUGGGCUUUAAAUUGUUACGUGUACUCUUCCUCAUUGCCAUCUCUCUUCUAUCCCCCAAUCUUGAUGGAUGCCAACAAGGCCAAACAUUUUAAUAAGGGCAGAAAGUCUCUCUAUAGGUAAAAAUUUUAUUUCAAUUAUAAUAUUUUUAAACUAUUUCUCAAGAAAUUUCUUAAUCUUCUAAGAAAUCCAAUUACCAUCUCAUGUUUGCGCUUUCCAGGACUCACCAUUUUUUCCUUAGAUUGUAGUCAACUGAUGUCCAUGCAACCCUACACACAGCAGGGUAAACCUACUAAAACAAGGCGGUUUGGGAGGUGAAAGGGACCUGAGCCACGGAUGCGAGUUGGUCGGAUCAGGCAGUCGGAUCUGUCUCAGCAAGUCUUUGAUUGGGAUGGUCAAAUUCCAGGCAUUUUUAGCUCUACUUUCAAUGAAGCUUGCAUUAUUUGUGUUUCAUCUGUGCACAUCACUCAGAUGGAUCGCAAAACCAUUUAAGCUCAUUCCUUUUCAAUUAGCUAUUAUUGAACUCCAGCUGACUCCAUUCAGAAAUGCAGCAUUCAACGUCUGGGUUUGGGACCCCAGCCUCAGUUUUAGGUCUUCUCUUGCACCUCCCUGGGACUAAGGAACAUCCGCCCUGCUUUCACUGAAAAGGAAUACUGCAGCUUCCUGGAAACCUAUGAUGCUGCUCCUUUUCAGGCAUUUGGAGAAAGAAAUUCUUCUCCUCCAGUCCUUGUGAAACCACUAAACCCACAGCCGCAGGGUGGCCCCAGGGCUUACCUUUCGGUGUUGAGUGUGUGUGUUGGAGACGCUGUGGUUUUUUGGUUGAGGAGAAAACCCGGCACAUAUUAUCUUCAACUCCUUGCUGAAAGGCCUUUCUCAGAGAGCGGGGUCUGAAAUUCUAGACCAGCACUUGCAUUUUUACUGUCAUUGUUUAGAGAGCUUGAGAUGACUGUCCCUACCAGGAACUGCAAGAAAGGUUUACACAGAUGUACACGUGCCCAGUGUAAAAUUGGAGGUACUGAACUGAAAUAUUCACUCUCCCAGAUGCUAAGAAAUCAAAGCAGUGCUUCAAAAUUCCCAAAUAUAAGGACCAAUAUCCACUUCCAAGAUACUACUGACCCCUACACUAAUGUGGGGACAGCGCGGCAGGAAGAGGUUGAGGAGGAAAAUAAAACAUGAGGCCAGAGUCUGUAGCAUAG